rnacentral:rRNA from 1 species
GCAAGUCGAACGAGAUAUUCCUCAUUAAUUUCUUCGGAAUGAUUUACUGAAUGGACAUUGGCGAACGGGUUAGUACCGCGUGGGUAACCUACCUUUAACUGGGGGACAACACCGGGAAACUGGUGCUAAUACCGAAUAGUUGAUACAGUGGCAACACGGAAAAAGGAACGGAGCAAUCCGGUAUAAGAUGGGCCCGCGUCCAAUUAGCUAGUUGGUGAGGUAAAGGCUCACCAAGGCGACGAUUGGUAGCCGAACUGAGAGGUUGAUC